GACAGUGUGGUGCUGUGGUUUGAGCCUCAGACUAACACUCUGGAGACCCAGGUUCGAUUCCUACUCGGCCA